ACCAUGAGAGUCGGGAACACCCGAAGUCCGUAGCCUAACCGCAGGGGGGCGCGGCCGAAGGUGGGUUCGAUAAUUGGGGUGAAGUCGUAACAAGGUAUC
rnacentral:rRNA from 1 species